GCAAAGCCUAUGCAUAAUAUUAACCUAUAAUAUUAAGCCCAUGCAAAUUGCCCAUGAUCAUUGUUUCACUUAUGUACAGGUAUGGCCUGUUUAAUUUUGUUAAGUCUAUUGUUAUUAUCUUGCCCGUUGCUUUUAUAUUCCUUCCAUUUAUAUCACGUUUUCUUAACCUAAUUUAUUCAUCACUUAAACCUAACCCUAGCCGUCAAUUUUAUCUCAAAACCUCUAAAACAUCGCUGUUCAAAUCAUCCUCUUUAUGCUCGUGAAAUUAGCGUUAUAUUUGGAUCCGUCUUGUCCCUGUGAUACUAGACUCACGCCUCUACGAUUCUCAACUUCGUUUUCUCAUUCGACUCUUCGACUACUCGCGCUCCGGAGUCGAAACAGGGUUAGCUGUUUGCCAAGAUCACGUGGAUAAGCAAGCUGUGAGUUUAUAUUUACUAUUUACCGCUUUAUUAAGUAAAUUGUUAUUUUAAUAUUAAAUAUAUAUACUGUACGUAUAUUUCGAACUGUUUUUAUAUUAUGGCUCUUAGUUGGAACGUGCUACCUAAUGGGCAUCAUUAGGACUGCGUGCGCACCGGUAAAGAUCUGGAAAAGGUAAUUAUGGUAAUGUGGUAACUCGGUAUGAGCAUAGCUCUCGGGACCAAGUAGAGUAACUCGGUGUAGCUCGGCUCUCGGGACUCUGGUAUAAGUGUGGUCAGUGGUAACUCGGUGUAGCUCAGCUCUCGGGACCAGACCUAUUGGAUUAUGUUAUUUAUGUAGAAUUGUGGAUUAGG